UUGGCCUGGCACACCUAUGUUCUGCUCCCCCUUCACCUACACCUUUGUCGCCUUUGGCUUUUCUUCCUCUUCUUCUUGUUCAGCCUUUUGUUCGGAUCCCUUUUGCUCCUCCCGCCCGCGGUUGCUGCUGUCUCUUUUUAUCUAUUUAGCCAAGUUCUCAGUCUGCGUUUUGUUUGUAAUUUAAGCUGCACCCUCUCUCCAUGUCCUUCUUCUUCUUUUUGUUGACACCGUCCCUCCCCCCUCCCUUCUACUUUGGUGGCAACUCCGAUUUCAGUUUGUCAAGUUGAUUGAACCCGUGAACUUUGUGCAGAAAAAAAGACUUAAAAUUAUAAGUUCAAGUGAACGAAAAAUGUAAUAUGCCCUCCUUUGCAGGGCAUCGGUGCAGCAAAAUUGGCGCGUAAUUCACGAGCUUUUCUCGGCAACGAAAGUGCAACUUUUCCGCCUGCUGGCAAAGUUCGAUUUCGAUUGGUUUUGAAAUAUAUAUUUUGGUGGCACGAUUUUUGCGCAAUUAAUUUUUGCGUGUGCUGCCAUUUGUUGUUUUUUUUUUUUUGCAACAACAAGUGCGGAAAAUGAGAAAGAGGAGGAGCAGGAAUACCAACUGCGUAAAUAACGGGACAACAAGUGGCAGCGCUGCUGCUACUUCUGCUGCUGCAGCGCCCCGACGUCGACGUCCCUGAGUAUCUCAAUUUCAAGUUAAUUUUUUUUCUAUCCUCAAGAAUGUUUUUUUUUUCUGCCGAGCUUUCACAAAAAUUCUACGACGUAACGUUAACCUGUUCACUUCCCCUCAAUCAUUCGCGUAAUAAACGUCUAGAGAUGAAUUUGAUAAAUGCCAAAAGGAAGCGUCGGAAACACGAUUCGAUACUGGAAUCAUCGUUAUGGAAAAAAAUAUAUGAAAUACAAUAGUUUUUCAAGAAUUUGAAAUUUUAUAUGGUUUUUUCUGGAAGCAUCUCUUAAACGCAACAAAUCUAUUUCUGUCAAAUAAGCAACCUAUAAGCUGAAAAGUUACUGGGGCCCUCAACUUGAAGUGACAAACUACUUAGGACUUGAACAAAAAAUUCCGAUGUCAUUUCCCUGCAAAGUUCUAUACCGUCCAUAUAUAUUGAAAAUACGUGUAUGCAGAUGCGGCCAAAGAUUACAGCAGCUUUGGUUGGUCAUCUUGUAAGGCUCUGAUCUCCCGUCGCUCCUUGGCAGGGCUAAUUACGAUCACACUUGGCUGAACCCGCUGACCGCAGUUUUGGACCUGGAUUUGUAUUGGACCUGGAUUGGGUUUUCUCGAUGUCGCAAAACCAAAAACAAAAUGAGAAGGAAAAAAAUCCAGUUGUUGACAACUUAAGUAAGGCGACACCCCAGGUAGAAUGGGUGUUCUUCAGGUACUCAGGAUCUCUGCACAUUUAAAACUCAUCCUUUUCACAUUUGGUUGUGGUGUGGUUGCAAAAACACAGGACACUUCAAGAAAAUAAAGCAGAUUCUUGUUCAUAAAAAAUGAUUAUGAUUGGGGCAAUCGAUCGCCCCUUUGUUGUGGAGCGGUGGAUGGUGGCCAGAAGCGAUGGUUAACUAGUAGCCAUCUGGAGCAGGACACACGCAUGUGUUGGCCAAAAGUCAUUUUGGCCAUAUCCAAGAAACAGGAACCUUCAUAAUUUAAGAGCACGAAACGAAACAAACCGAGACGAGACAAGACGUACCAACAUCCAAUAAACGUCAAUCGGUUCUGGGCCGAAACCAAGCCAAUCAUGGCCCAAAGAACUCGUUUUCAUUCGCCAAAAAGCGACAGAUGUUGUUGUUUUUUUUUUUUAUAUGGUACUUGAAUUGGAGUAAUUACCAAAUGCCAGGGCAUACUGUACUCCUUGAAAAUGUUUCCUUUAUAAGGCGGGUUACAGGUUCCGACGCACAUAACUGAAGAUCAUCCUUGGGUUGUGGGCGAUGAUCCUGUGUCGAAGAAACUGAUCUUGAUCCCUCAGGAGUUGCUCAUAAUCAUCCAGUCCGUCAUUCAUCAGUCUACCAUCAGCAUAGGUCCGGUUUCCACCUGCAAAUCGUCGAUGGAGUCGUCGAUUUCGUUGACAACUGCAAAGAAAAUAAAAAUUUGAAUAUCAAUUAUAAUAAAACAUAAAAUAUAUAAAUAAUAAUUAAAAACGAAA